GCCUCCGUAGCUCAGCUGGUCAGAGCGGCUGAUUCGUAAUCAGCAGGUCGCGCGUUCGAAUCGCGUCGGGGGCU
rnacentral:tRNA from 1 species